GCUUGUGAUUCCCAUGGGGCCAUGCUACCCUCUAGGGUAUUUUUCAAAGGAAACAUCCCAUAAAAAUUAACCGUGUCCAGACCUGUGAAUUAGCCCUCGUAAACAAACCAGACUCAGACCUCCAGCAGCCUCCACCGACUUUCUUUCUCUCAGACUCUCUACCCCCUACUUUCCAGCACGCUUUCUCAGGGAACUCAACAAAUUGCGCCUUUGUAUCUCCCAGAGUCCCUUCCAUCUCAGAAUCCACUCCCAGCCCCCGGUGGAGAGCAGGACCUACUGUAUGGCGAAGUUCGUUGGCAGAAUGAGAAUGAAGAUGAUGAUUACUCUGUAGUGUAUGCAACCUCCCGGAAGAGUAAAGCCGGGCCUGCUGCCUCAGCCUCGGGGACUCAGGACAGUUCUGUCAUCUACACGGAGGUGACACAAUCACAGCUUGGUGAGCUUCCAGCCGCGAAACGGAAUCCGAGAAGCAGGACCCACAAAGCCCUCCCUGGUCACUUCGAGGAGGUUCUCCACUAUUGAUGGCAUUCCCCCCAACACCAUCCUCUGGUGCUCCCCAGGAGGCCAGCGGGGACCCCAGCCCCUUCUGUAGGUCCCCAGUCCCUGAGUCCAGCAGUGAGGGAGCCCCGUGUCCUGGCCAGGGUCCCCGGGAGACUCGAGGAGCGCCUAAAUGAUCUCGGAGGCCCCCUCUGAGCAGAACAGGCAGCGUGUGGGCAGGGACAUCCGCACUCACGCGUGACGAGGGGACUGGACACGGGAGCCACAGAUGUUUUCUUUCACACGAAUGGAAGCAUUGCAAUCCCUUCUGUCUACACAUCUGUAAGUGCUUUCUCCCACAGCCCUCGGUCCCCACGGAUGUGCUUGGCCUCACCCUGCCGGAGAGAAUUAAUCUGCACACCCUGAGGGCUGGCCCUGGGCAGCUCCCAUAAAGCAUUUCCAACUUCCAAGCUUCUGCUGAGGCCCCUGAGUGACCGGGGCAUCAAGGGUCGGGGGGGCGGGGGGGGAAGGGCCUGGAGCCCACAAUAUCGCACAACUCUUAACCCCUGAGCCAGAGCCCCUCCCCAGGCCCGGAGAACGCUGCCUUCGCAUGCAACCCGUUUCUGUCCACACCCCUUCCAGGCUCCCAGGUUACCCACGUUUAUGGAAUGAGGCCUGCCCCGAAUCCCCCCUUGGGGAACACCGCAGAAAACUGUUACCCCUUGUGUUUGCAAAGAUGUGUGCUGGUAGAACGUAUUUGUCCAUAGAAAAGCAUCAAUAUUAUUCACCAAUACCAAUCGCUUGUAGUGCCUGCUGGUUCAGUUUGGUCUGGGGUUGUGGAGCCCUCACUCCGUGACGCUGAGAGUGUCGCACUAGUAACUAGGAAGAUCAAUUAUCCCUGCUUCUCCUCCGAGCCCCGGUUCCCUCCGGGUCCCUGCUCCCGGGUCACAGAGUGGGGUCCCGCAGACCCCGCCCGCCUCUCCUGGGAAGAGGUCCACGUUUUCAGAGGACUCCGGCCCGUACACCCGGAGCUGGACACGGUCAGGGUUCAUCCUCGAGCUGAAUAGAAAUGUAGCCACUCAGAGGCAACCCCACAUCUGCUGAAUCUCAGUCCGCAUUGAAAAUAAGAUUUCUAGGCGGUUCGUAUUGCCCAGUAAAGUCUAAAAAGCCUGGUCUGCCUCCAAACUUCAUGGGAAUACCUCUGUCCACUCGCCUUCUGGAGCGUCACUGGAUGACACAAGGGGGCCCAGAGAGCUACUAGGCCAACGCAUGUGCUGGUGUUUCUCACUUCCCUAUGCCUUCUCUUCCUUCCCUCCCCCCACCUGACCUUCCUCUUCUGCAGCCUCUGCCUCCUCUUCCCCAUCGCUCUCUUGGCUGGUCCAAUCCACAUCCAGGAUACACCGGGGCCCCUCCCCCUCGCUUCUUGUCUGCCAGGCCGAGAAGCACAUGCCAGGUCAUUGGAAGCACAGGGUCCUAUCUGGUCAAUCAGGAAGCAACUGUAGAAGCCAAGCCUUGCCGCGCCCUCUAUAAACGGGCCGGGCCCCUCGUAAAGAGUCCGGUCAAAGACAGGACAGCUCAUGAAGGAGACACUGAUGCUGGGGACCCGGAAGGAGCCGGCCCUGCCGGUCAUCCCCACGGACCGCCUCCUCCCUGAGAACUCACGCCUCCUGCCCUCUGCCCUACACCAGCGACACGGGGCCCAGCUGGGGAUGGUCUUUACCGGCCCAGGAUGGGCUACGGGGAACAAUGAAAAGCAAGAACUCAGACCCUUUUAUAGCAACCUGAUGGGGCAAUUUUGUUUGUUUAAUAUAGUCCUAAAAAA